rnacentral:rRNA from 1 species
GACGAACGCUGGCGGCGUGCUUAACACAUGCAAGUCGAACGGAAAGGCCCUGCUUUUGUGGGGUGCUCGAGUGGCGAACGGGUGAGUAACACGUGAGUAACCUGCCCUUGACUUUGGGAUAACUUCAGGGAACUGGGGCUAAUACCGGAGAGGAGAUCCUGCUGCAUGGUGGGGGUUGGAAAGUGUCGGUGGUUGGGGAUGGACUCGCGGCUUAUCAGCUGGAUGGUGGGGUAGUGGCUUACCAAGGCUUUGACGGGUAGCCGGCCUGAGAGGGUGACCGGCCACAUUGGGACUGAGAUACGGCCCAGACUCCUACGGGAGGCAGCAGUGGGGAAUAUUGCACAAUGGGCGGAAGCCUGAUGCAGCAACGCCGCGUGCGGGAUGACGGCCUUCGGGUUGUAAACCGCUUUCGCCUGUGACGAAGCGUGAGUGACGGUAAUGGGUAAAGAAGCACCGGCUAACUACGUG